GUGGUGACUGGGCUGAGUCAACCAGGUUCUCCCUCAGGAAUGUGAACUAAGACACACUGAAAGAAUGGAGCAGAUAACAGAAAUCUGAAGCUGAGGGAACGUUCUGGGGCAGAGGAGCAACCAUGAUGCCCCAUUCUCAGGGAAAAGUUAUGAGGCAGGAGGAAUUGGAAAAAAACAACAGAGACCCAGAAUAAAGCCCAGAGAGCAGAGAAUUGGGAAAAAAAAUGAGCUAGCUGGAAGAGAGAUACAGACACACCAAAGAGGAAUUUAUUUAGCUAUGUUUCACUCAGAAGAUCCUGUUGACAGCCCGGAUGCACACCGCUGGGCUACUGCAACCCGAAAGCCAAUACUGAACCAGUCAAAAAGAGGAAGAAAACUUACAUCUUUGGUGUUUCCCAGAUCACCAAUAAUCUACAGAGGCCAAGUGCAAAGUCUGCGUGUGGCAGACCAUGAGACUGUGCUCAAUUUCCUUCUGUUUUCUUUGCGAGCUCUCUGCUGCCCUGGCAUCCCACAUGCAAGUAUUCUUUUCCUCUUGUGAUUAGUUUGGAUUAUGGAAGGAUGAGAAAACAUGUUGUGUAACAAACGAGAUUAGGAAGAAGAGAAAAACAGAGCAAAAGGAUAUUACGUCUUACCUGUUGAAACAACCUAAGGCAAAUUCUAAUAUAAAGGUGAACUUGUAUGACCUGUCGGAGCGAGUGCUGGGCCAACUGCAUCCUAGUGUGUGGUUUCCACAGACUCGUGAAAUGGGAAAAGAAAACCGAAAGGGAGUAAGAAGACUCUCUGCUCCGAGAUGGAUUUAUUCCGACAAGGAGGCUAUACGAAAGGGGAAUGAAUACACACAGAAGAGCCCUAAAUGGGAGCACAGGGAGAUGGAGAUGCUAUAAUGGGCGACUGGUUAGAAAUAUCGAUGCUUAGGAGCAGAAAGGCUUAGAAAGUCGGGAAGAAGAGAUAUUUUUGCUCUUUGCUCUGAUUCCAAAUUUUGUAUCUUCAGCAAAAACCCAGAAGUACAG
rnacentral:lncRNA from 1 species